GAUGAACGCUGGCGGCGUGCCUAAUACAUGCAAGUCGAGCGAACAGAUAAGGAGCUUGCUCCUUUGACGUUAGCGGCGGACGGGUGAGUAACACGUGGGUAACCUACCUAUAAGACUGGGAUAACUUCGGGAAACCGGAGCUAAUACCGGAUAAUAUUUCGAACCGCAUGGUUCGAUAGUGAAAGAUGGUUUUGCUAUCACUUAUAGAUGGACCCGCGCCGUAUUAGCUAGUUGGUAAGGUAACGGCUUACCAAGGCGACGAUACGUAGCCGACCUGAGAGGGUGAUCGGCCACACUGGAACUGAGACACGGUCCCGACUCCUACGGGAGGCAGCAGUAGGGAAUCUUCCGCAAUGGGGGAAAGCCUGACGGAGCAACGCCGCGUGAGUGAUGAAGGUCUUCGGAUCGUAAAACUCUGUUAUUAGGGAAGAACAUACGUGUAAGUAACUGUGCACGUCUUGACGGUACCUAAUCAGAAAGCCACGGCUAACUACGUG
rnacentral:rRNA from 1 species